CCUACGGGCGGCAGCAGUGGGGAAUAUUGGGCAAUGGAGGCAACUCUGACCCAGCAAUGCCGCGUGUAUGAUGAAGGUCUUCGGAUUGUAAAGUUCUUUUCUAAGGGACGAAGAAAGUGACGGUACUUUAGGAAUAAGCCUAGGCUAACUAAGUGCCAGCAGCCGCGGAAAUACGUAGGAGGCGAGCGUUAUCCGGAAGGACUGGGCGGAAAGGGUGCGUAGGUGGUUUGACAAGUUGGUAGCGUAACUCCGGAGCUCAACUUCGGAACUACUACCAAGACUGUUGGACUCGAGUGCAGCAGGGGGAACUGGAAUUUCUAGUGUAGCGGUGGAAUGCGUAGAUAUUAGGAAGAACACCGAUGGCGAAGGCGAGUUGCUGGACUGUAACUGACACUGAUGCACGAAAGCGUGGGGAGCAAACAGGAUUAGAUACCCUUGUAGUC
rnacentral:rRNA from 1 species